UCUCAAUUCAAAGUACACGAGUACAGACUUGUGUUCUUUUGGAGUCUGGACUUGGGAGUUUGGUCUUGGGAGUCCAGACUCCGGACGACGGGAGGAGGUCUUUCUGCGAUUGGAACAGCAGCUGACUUGAUGACGUCACCACAUCAGCUGUUCUUGCUCCUGGGUUUACUCUAAUUAUUCACUGUAAAUUAUUUUUUACAGUCAAAUAAACAAAACAUCCUAAAAUUACAUUCCGUGACUCAACAACAGUAGUAUUUAUAAAAAGUCAACUGUCAGGAGUUUAUUUUCUCCUCCGCUACUGUUUCCGGUUGCUGGUGAAAUGCAUUCUGGGAUAUCUGCUGGCCAGAGUACGCACAAGUCUCCUCUGAUGCAUCCUCCGGAAAGUGGGAGGAUCAAGUCACAUCCGGGCAUUUUGACCGUGCUUUGCUAGAAGCGAACUUUGAAUCGUAACAUGUACCCGGGCUGCGACUGAUGACGUUUCACGAGCCACAAGUAGAGGAAAGUACGCACAAGUACGCUGAUUGAGAAACGUCGUUGGAUAAGCUCGCUAGCAGCAUGACUCAACGACGACAACCAAGAUGCUCAGUGGUCGGCUGCACAGAUCAGCACAAAUGCCUUCACGUGACUCCAGCUUCAGAAGACACGAGAUUGAAAUGAAUUGAUUUCAUAUAUGAAGGCAAUCUUCCUGCAAGAGUUGGCAAAUAUCUGUUAGUGUGCGCUUACCACUUUGAAUUGGACUGUUUUAUCAACCUGGGCCAAUAUAACGCUGGACUCGCUGGAAGGUUGAUAUUGAAAGGGGGGUCGGUGCCAUCUAUCCGUCGCAGGACUGAAGACGAGGGAAAUGCAAGCACACCUGUUCAGGGUGCGAGGGUACAUCACAUGGCCUGCCAGACGGACCCACCAAAGAUGUGCACACUUGGCACGCAGCUUUCUGUGAAAACACUGCAACCUCACUACAAAAGCACAGGUUUGUUUACCCUCCGUUACUUCAUCAUGUCAUUGUGUCUCCGUGUUAAAGUUGUAACAGCAUCUCAUUUUUUAAUUUGUUGUGACUCCAAGGAUACUGAAUAUCUGUUUUAUCAUAGGCACACAGAAAACUGUGCCCUGCACUGAUGUCGGUGUUGGAACCUCAGCUGUGGCCUUCGAAGCAUCACAGCCGUUCCUAACAUCGACACCAAUAAAGAGGCCAAGUAAGAGACCUCGCUCGGAGGAGGAAGAGGACGACCCUUUUGAGGGAAGUUCAAGUAUGGAUUUCGGAGAGCAACAGGAUUCUACCUAUGAUCCUAAUGACUCGGGCACAGUGUUGACUGAGUCGGCAGAUGUGACGUGACUGACUCGAUAUGUAAUCUAAACAUUUUAAUAAUCAGAUGGAUUACCAUCCUACACUUAUUUUAGCUGUAGCAGCAUGGAAGUUUUUUUUGUUUGUUGGUGAAAUCUUAUCUUUCUGUCUUUUUAAUAGAAUGGAAUCUUCCAACCCUGUUCAUAAGACACCCACAUAUAUUGUAUAUGAAAACUGCCUCCUGGAGCUGUUUGAGGUGUUCCCUAUGUGUCGGCGGGUGACAGAUGUGCAAACAAGAAGGGUUGGGACAUUCCUGUGUAGAACAGAAGUGCCCACACUGUCAGUUCUACAGAAAAUGGAAUAGUCAGCCUCUUCUUGGUGGCACUCCUGUUGGGAACAUCCAGCUGCAGUGUAUGCCACUGGUGCAUCUUUCUUCAAACUGGAGAAGCAGUACGAAAGAAAAGAGUUUGACCUCAGAUAUUCCACAGACAGGAAGUCUGGGCUGCUCACAAAAACCUUGGCAUGGUCAAAAACAGAGGGAGGAAGAUCGUCAUGACAACUGAAAUUGAAAGAAAUUCACUGACAUUGUUCGAUAUGUGAACAAAGUCCAGAAAUACAGCCGGUCAACCAUUGCUUUAUAAUCAGAGCAAUGAAGUCGGAGGGAGUUACCACAUGGAGAAAGAGGGUCUGAAAAGGAGCCUCGCUCUCUUGGAGGCACGAGGUGUGACAUUGGAUAUCAGUCACAGACCGGCACCCUCACAUCGACAUUCCUGAGGGAGGCCAACAUAUCACACUACUACAAUGUUUGCCACAUGGAAAAAGGACUGUCGAAGAAACUUGUCAAGAUUGCCCAGAACAAAGAAUGUGAGAAACUGAAGAAGUGGCUCCCCAGCAUAAAAAAACCACAUCUACUGGACAGCCGCUACGUCAUCAGGGCCAGAGAGAGCGGCAAAGUGGAGCUCCCUCCUGAACCACGUCCAAGACAUCCACUCCCAUCAUGACCCUGGGUUCCCCCAGUGUUUGCACCCGCUACGCAUUUCAAGGGACAAGAGCAAAUGGUUGACAGCAGGGACACCAGCCUUCAGCAGAUUAGAGAAGGUGUUGACCAACAAGAGGGUUCUGAACGAUGUGGGGAAGCUGAGCCCUCACUACCAGACCUCGUCGUUUGAGUCUUUCCACGGCGUAAUUCUGCGUUUUGCGCCUAAAAACGUAGUCUUUCCUUUUCGUGGAAUGUUAUGCAGCUAACAGUAUGAUAAUUUUUUCAAAGAAAUGUAUACCUAUUAUGUUUUAUACACGCAUGCUCUUAUAAGUAUUGUUUUCUCCCCAAAGACUCUACCUGGCAGUCCUGCAUUUCAAUGAAAAUGCUGGGCGUCCCCAAGCAACAAGUUCAGCUGGUGAGCCGCAAUUUAAAGUGAACUUCCCAAAAUAUAAGAAGGGCGAGUGCACUGCAGAGCCAACCUGCCAGUACGUGGAUAACCAGUUGGACCUCAUCUUUCACGAGGUUUUUCAGGACCCGGCCCCAUAUGUGAAUGAGGUGCUGAAGAUCCCAAUACCCGCGUAUCUCUCUGCCCAGUUUGAGAAACCUGACAAGCGGGAAGUUAUAGCCAGCUAUGUGUCGAGGUUCAAUGGAGGGCAGGUCUGAACCCCGUAUACCUUCCUUGAGCAUCAGGGAGCACGACGCAGGACGGCAGGACCACCCAGAUCGCCCCAACACCAGCUCACGAAGCUUCUGUACGCCAAACACCUGUAACGUCUAAGCAAAGUUUACAUUGUAUAAGAGAAUAAAAGGUGAUACACAUAUAUAAAGUGUGCCUUUGUUUACAGUAUGGCUACAGAUGGCACAGAGUAAUUUUGUAAUCAAUGUUUUUAUUAUACUUUUUUUGUAUUUAUUACAUAUGUACCAGCCAGUACAUUUAAUAACUGUUUAAAAAGCUCUGGCAUUCUUUCUCGCAAUCUUUUUGACAAUAAAAGUGUAUAGAAACAGU